AUAUGGGGGAGUUGGGGGUCACAUACGGGGGGGUUGGGGGGAGUUGUAGGAUUUUGGGGUGACUUGGGGGGAUUUUGGGGUCUCUCGGCAGCGUGGCUGACACUUAUGGGGCAGCGGCUCUUCUUCGUCCUCUACCCCAAUACUGAGACCCACAGCGACCCCCCGCCCCAUAGCGAAGCUGAGCCCCACAGCAAGCUCCUGCCCCAUAGCGACCCCGUGCCCCAUAGCGACUCCCAGCCCCAUAGCGACCCCGUGCCCCAUAGUGACUCCCAGCCCCAUAGCGACACCCAGCCCCAUAGCGAUUCCCAGCCCCAUAGCGACCCCGUGCCCCAUAGCGACCCCCAGCCCCAUAGUGAAUCUGAGCCCCAUAGUGAAUCUGAGCCCCAUAGCGACCCCCAGCCCCAUAGCGACCCCGUGUCCCAUAGCGAAUCUGAGCCCCAUAGCGACCCCCAGCCCCAUAGUGAAUCUGAGCCCCAUAGUGACCCCCAGCCCCAUAGCGAGACCCACAAGUGACCCCUCAGCCCCAUAAGUGCCCUCCCAGCCCCACAAGUGAUCCCUCAGCCCCAUAAUGAGACCCACAAGUGCCCCCCCAGCCCCAUAAGUGCCCCCCCAGCCCCACAAGUGACUCCUUGGCCCUAUAGUGAGACCCACAAGUGCUCCCCCACCCCACAAGUGCCCCCUCAUCCCCAUAGUGAGACCCACAAGUGCCCCCUCACCCCAUAAGUGCCCCCCCAGCCCCACAAGUGACCCCCAGCCCCACAAGUGACCCCCCAGCUCCAUAGUGCGACCCAUAAGUGCCCCCCAGCCCCACAGGUGACCCCUCGGCCCCAUAGUGAGACCCACAAGUGCUCCCCAGCCCCACAAGUGCCCCCCCAGACCCACAAGUGAACCCUCGGCCCCAUAGUGAGACCCACAAGUGCCCCCCCAGCCCCAUAAGUGCCCCCCCAGCCCCACAAGUGACUCCUUGGCCCUAUAGUGAGGCCCACAAGUGCUCCCCCACCCCACAAGUGCCCCCCCAGCCCCACAAGUGACCCCUCGGCCCCAUAGUGAGACCCACAAGUGCUCCCCAGCCCCACAAGUGCCCCCCCAGCCCCACAAGUGACUCCUUGGCCCUAUAGUGAGGCCCACAAGUGCUCCCCCACCCCACAAGUGCCCCCCCAGCCCCACAAGUGACCCCUCGGCCCCAUAGUGAGACCCACAAGUGCUCCCCAGCCCCACAAGUGCCCCCCCAGCCCCACAAGUGACUCCUUGGCCCUAUAGUGAGGCCCACAAGUGCUCCCCCACCCCACAAGUGCCCCCCCAGCCCCCCAUCGCCCCGCAGCUGAGCCCGUUGGGGCCGCCCCACACUCCGCCCCACAAGUGCCUCCGGCCCCACGGCAAUAAAGGUGCUCUCAGUGUAA